rnacentral:rRNA from 1 species
GACGAACGCUGGCGGCGUGCUUAACACAUGCAAGUCGAACGGAAAGGCCCUGCUUUUGUGGGGUGCUCGAGUGGCGAACGGGUGAGUAACACGUGAGUAACCUGCCCUUGACUUUGGGAUAACUUCAGGAAACUGGGGCUAAUACCGGAUAGGAGCUCCUGCUGCAUGGUGGGGGUUGGAAAGUUUCGGCGGUUGGGGAUGGACUCGCGGCUUAUCAGCUUGUUGGUGGGGUAGUGGCUUACCAAGGCUUUGACGGGUAGCCGGCCUGAGAGGGUGACCGGCCCAAAUGGGACGUGAGAUAGGGCCAAGACUCCGACGGGAGGAAGAGGGGGGGAAUAUGGAAAAAGGGGGGGAACCUUGAGGCAGCAACGCCGGGGGGGGGAUGACGGCUUUGGGUUUGAAACCCUUUUUCGCGGGGAACGAGGGGGGGGGGAGGGAAAGGGGAAAAGAAGCACGGAAAAAUUAGGG